rnacentral:rRNA from 1 species
UACGGAGGGUGCAAGCGUUAUCCGGAUUCACUGGGUUUAAAGGGUGCGUAGGAGGGCAGGUAAGUCAGUGGUGAAAUCCCCGAGCUUAACUUGGGAACUGCCGUUGAUACUAUCUGUCUUGAAUAUUGUGGAGGUAAGCGGAAUAUGUCAUGUAGCGGUGAAAUGCUUAGAUAUGACAUAGAACACCAAUUGCGAAGGCAGCUUACUACACAAUCAUUGACUCUGAUGCACGAAAGCGUGGGGAUCAAACAGG